rnacentral:rRNA from 1 species
UACGUAGGGGGCAAGCGUUGUCCGGAAUCAUUGGGCGUAAAGAGCGCGUAGGCGGCCCUGUAAGUCCGCUGUGAAAGUCAAGGGCUCAACCCUUGAAUGCCGGUGGAUACUGCAGGGCUAGAGUCCGGAAGAGGCGAGUGGAAUUCCUGGUGUAGCGGUGAAAUGCGCAGAUAUCAGGAGGAAUACCGAUGGCGAAGGCAGGUCUCUGGGCUGACACUGACGCUCAUGCACGAAAGCGUGGGGAGCAAACAGG